rnacentral:tRNA from 1 species
GUUUCCGUAGCUCAUUCGGAUAGAGCGGCUCCCUCCUAAGGAGCAGGUACCGGGUUCGACUCCCGGCGGGAACGCCA